UUCGUACAGCAUACGUUUUUUGGUGUUCCCUGAUAAAAUUUGUACCACUUAUUGAGGCAAUUAAACCAUUCAUUUUUCUGUAAAAAUAAUAUUUUUAGAAGCUGGGGUUUAGCAAAUAUAUCAAUUAAAAGAUUUUAGUAACGAAACGUAAUAUAAUGCAACGAAACGUAGAAGACAUGUUUAGUUAGUUGCCAUUAAUAAAAUAUCAGAAGGCUCGAAAUGAUAAAUAAAUAUUUUUAAAUAGAAAUAACAGUAAAUAUAAUUUACCAAUUACAGGUUAUACCUUAGAAUAUAUAAUUAAUGCAUAUAUAUGCAUAGAAUCUUUAUAUUUAUAGGAAUUAUUUUUGCCAUCAAUAUUUUUUUUUGUAAUGGCAAUUAUUUAUUGACAGGUUCGUAAAAUCCCUAAUCUUUCAAAGUCUGUCCAGUUUUUUGCCGUUGUUUUGUUUUGGAUUGUAGUUUGUAACUUCAUCUAAACAAUUUAGCAAUUAUCUGGCCAUUUUUACGUUGAGUUGAGCAACUGCUUCUCCGUUCUCUAUAUGUUGAUACUACUUUCGCGAAAGGACGCUUUAUUAUUGUGUUGUGUGUUACGUGUUUUAUUGAAAAUGACGAGUUUGCAAUGCAUCAAUUGCAAUGUUCGCUUGUCCCGAAGAAGAAGACACGCUUUAUCCAAUGACGGUGAAGAUAUCGUCAACACUAAUCGUCUGUGGACAUAUCUUAGAGAUAUUACACCAGAUGACCAAGUUUACCAUGAAUGCUGGCAGCUAGCUAGUCAUUCAUGUUCUUCUGAUAAUAUGCCGAGAAGACACAUAGGCCAUCAGUGUUUGUGUUGUAUGUGGACAACCCAUACUAAGAAUCAGGCAAUGCAGGAUUUUGAUUGAAGAAGAACAAAGAACGGCUUACACAAUUGCUACUUGGAUCUAACCACGACAGCUUCAUCCUGAAGAUAAAGCUUGUGUGCGGUGUUGGUUAAGAGCGAGAACUAAGGAUACUUCACUAAAUGAAGAUAUUCAAUCCGUUGAACCUAAUCAGCAGAAAAGUGAUAAUUCUGAACUGAUGUGUGCUGCAUGUGGUCAAAGUCUUACUCCCAACAACACUGCUUGUUUGUUGGAGCACCAGCAGACACCUUCCAUUAAUGAAGUUUGUGAAGUUUGCUGGGGCCAAGUAUGCAAUUUGAACUUCUAUGUUCCAGAUGGUCUAUGUUGCUUCAAGCUAAAAUAAAAUCCUGCCACUCUUCUCCUAGAAUUUAUUUUGUUUUCAUAGUUGCAGAAACAAAUAUGAAUAGCCGGGACACAAUCAAAAGUGAUUGCUGUAAUUGUAUUGUAGGUUUAAGAACAGUGGGAUGCUACUCACAUGUUAUGAGCAUUCUUUGGUAUUUGAGUUAUGCUUGCCAUGAGGGUAUGAGCCGACCUGCCCCUUUCUUGGAUGAAGUAAUAUUAAGAACCAAUCAAGUAAUUAUAAGAAAAUAAAAUAAAUGAAAUUCCUACAAAAACUAAGUUGUUUUAUUUACCUACACUGAAAACUUCAUCAGCUCUUAAUCAUUAUCAAACUAUUCUAGACCGCUGCUGGACAUAGGUCACUCCUUAAGCACCCUACUGAAUGGGUAAAUUCUCAUGUCAAUUUAUCAACUUCCUAUAUUCUUUUUCAUUUAAACAAUGUUUAUGUGCUUAGUGCUUACACAUGAUAAAGAACAAAGGGUAAUGUUGGGACCACCUCUCAAUAGUAAUGAGACACCCUUCUAUAGAUAAAUAUUCUCAAACUGAAUAAACUUACUAAAGUACUACAAUUAAGCUUAAGCAAUUAACCUUUUUUAUGCAAUAAAUUGGUAAACGAGCAGACGGAUCAUCUGAUGGUAAGCAAUCGCCGCCGCCCAUGUACACCUGAGGCGUUAGAAGUGCGUUGCCGGCCUUUUGGGGGUUCUGAAUUUAAGGGUUAUUAGGGAAGGGGUAAUUGCGCCUCCGGUAACCUCACUCACUCAACGAAAUACAACGCCAACGCGAAACAAACUCUUGACAAUGAUGAUAGUAGCUUACUUUUUUACAAGAUAAAUGUUCCAUAAGUCAUUUCUUAUCUUCCUACUCUUUCUCCUUCCGAAACACGAAGGAAACUUUCUAUGAUGGUCACCCAUCCACACACCAAAGUCGGCAAGGGUUGCUUAACCUUGGCGAUUGACCUGUGCUUUUGAUAUUAUUAACAACAAGCUUCUCUACUAGCCCAUACCUACUAUAUGUAUAUUCUACCUUAUAAAUAAUAUGAAAAUCUUGUAAAAUAUCCAUAUUUAC